AGUCGAACGGUAACAGGUUAAGCUGACGAGUGGCGAACGGGUGAGUAAUAUAUCGGAACGUGCCCAGUCGUGGGGGAUAACUGCUCGAAAGAGCAGCUAAUACCGCAUACGACCUGAGGGUGAAAGCGGGGGAUCGCAAGACCUCGCGCGAUUGGAGCGGCCGAUAUCAGAUUAGGUAGUUGGUGGGGUAAAAGCCUACCAAGCCAACGAUCUGUAGCUGGUCUGAGAGGACGACCAGCCACACUGGGACUGAGACACGGCCCAGACUCCUACGGGAGGCAGCAGUGGGGAAUUUUGGACAAUGGGCGCAAGCCUGAUCCAGCCAUGCCGCGUGCGGGAAGAAGGCCUUCGGGUUGUAAACCGCUUUUGUCAGGGAAGAAAAGGUUCUGGUUAAUACCUGGGACUCAUGACGGUACCUGAAGAAUAAGCACCGGCUAACUACGUGCCAGCAGCCGCGGUAAUACGUAGGGUGCAAGCGUUAAUCGGAAUUACUGGGCGUAAAGCGUGCGCAGGCGGUUAUGCAAGACAGAGGUGAAAUCCCCGGGCUCAACCUGGGAACUGCCUUUGUGACUGCAUAGCUAGAGUACGGUAGAGGGGGAUGGAAUUCCGCGUGUAGCAGUGAAAUG
rnacentral:rRNA from 1 species